AGAGCGCCGAACGGGAGCUUCGGCUCAUUUUGUGCCUGUUUCCUGUGGGACGCGGCGGUGGCAGCUGG
rnacentral:miRNA from 1 species